rnacentral:rRNA from 1 species
UACGUAGGGGCGAGCGUUGUCCGGAUUUAUUGGGCGUAAAGAGCGUGUAGGCGGCCAGGUAGGUCUGCUGUGAAAACUCGAGGCUCAACCUCGAGACGUCGGCGGAAACCAUCUGGCUAGAGUCCGGAAGAGGAGAGUGGAAUUCCUGGUGUAGCGGUGAAAUGCGCAGAUAUCAGGAAGAACACCCGUGGCGAAGGCGGCUCUCUGGGACGGUACUGACGCUGAGACGCGAAAGCGUGGGAGCGAACAGG